AUGGAGACGAAGCGCGUCGGAUUCGCGGAGCCGAGGAUCGAAGGCGACGGCGAGGCAGGGCUAGGAAGCCCAGUUCGCGGGGCCACGACCGGGGAAGAGGAGGCCGUCGUCGUCGGCGGCGGCAAGGCAAACCCACGGCCGCUCCGCCGCAGAGGGGUCAACGUGAAGCGGAAGGCGGCCCUGAGGAGGAAGCACCUGCCUCCCCGCGACGGGGAAAAGCGGCCGCCUCCGGCCCGGAGCUCGGCGCCGGUGGCGGGGGAUUACAGGGAGGAGGACGCGAUCGCCGUGCACCGUCGGGUCUGGGAGAGGAGAUGGGCCGGCAAUUUCGGCUCCUUCGACGACGAAACGGGUAUCGGUCCCAUGUGCUACACAUCCGCACCGCCCACCCCGGAAUACCUUUUCAGAGAACAGGCCGUGCAGAUCUUCUCCAUCAGGGUCAGGGCCCCAACAGAUGGUCUCAAGUGGCCACUGCAUGUCCAUGGCUAUGUCGCCACCAGAGACUCGAUGGAUCGCAAUCGCAACUAUCUCUUUAGGCGCGCAAGGGAUAACUGCCAAACCCUCACGCAAAACGAUCCAUUCUUGCUGUUAACAGGCCCAUCCCGCGCGGUAGUGUUCCUCGAUCCGAUCACGUUCGAAGUCCAGCUAAAAGUGAAGGGAAAAGGGGAGUCCGAAGACGAAAUGCUGGCUUUUGCUGUCUUCUACUACGGCGACGGGAAUGCUUGUGCACGCAAGCUCUCCAUGUCCAUCCCCCACAACCGCUGCACGCUCGAGUACGAAGUGGCGCUGCGGCCGCGCUCGGUCGAGGCCACCAUCAGCGUCAAGAUCGUCGAAGGGUCAUGGCCGGAGAACCACCGAGGACAGGUUGUCGCCCUCACCUCCGGCGUAGACGGGGAGGUCGUCUUGCUUCGUUCUGGAGACAGAGAACUGCCCGUCGGUUCGGACGGCGCGAUCGAGCUCUCGAGGCGGGUUGUUUCUGUAGAUCUAAGAGAGAAACUGGUGGUUGCUGUGGACGCCUCUCUGUCCGGUUUCCUUGCGCGGGGUACAGCUGAGUUCAAGCCGGAGAACUAUGGCACGAGCCACGGCGUGUGCGACCUCGGUUCCUGCAAGAUUCAAGUCGCCGUUGCUUGGUCCCUUUUCGUUAUUGUUUUGGGAAGAUAG
rnacentral:rRNA from 1 species